GGGCCAUGGAGCCCUCCUAUGCACUGUGGAGCCCUCCCUCGGGCUGCAGAGCCCUCCCUCGGGCUGAGCAACCUCAAGGACCGGGCGUGAAGUCACCUUUUCUGUUGUGUCUUAGCGCAGCCAAUGCCACACCUCGCUCCGAAGGGCUACGGUGAAGUUUCUGGGGUUGCCACCUCUGCUGGACUCGCCCUAAUAUUCAAUCCACUUUUGAGGCCUAAAACUGGUGCAAACGCAUCCGUGUUUCUGCUCCCAGCCCGACAGUUCUCCAGAACACUCCUUUGAUUGCAGACACACCUUCCUCUCCAGUCUGCCUAUAAGUACAUGACAGGAAAAUGCAAAUCCUUCGCUACACCACAAUUUAACAGCAGGACUCACCGAAGCCUUACAAUAUUUAUUAGGUCUUUUAUUUAUUGUCAGUUGGCUCCUUUUAGAUCCGGCACGGACACACACCGACACCUACGCCGCCUUUUACUCCUAACAGUAGUGCCUGUUCCUGGGGAGAUGGAACAUGCUGGAAUCUACAGUUGUGUCUCCGUAAAUGUCACAAAUUACUCCUGUACUUCAUGAAUUAGAGGCAAAUCUCCAGAAGAGGCUGAUCGGUCCAACACUGUCCGGAGGAUAACAACAGGAACACUCAGUGGGCUGGAAAACAUCGUCUGCUCAGAAGGAUUGACAACCUCUUUAGCGGUGCCUGGGGCGAUGUACAGUCUUGCUGCUGCUGUGCCAGGAGUCAGGACGGGGCUGAUCCGGAGAGCCCUGCAGGAUCCAGAGCAUCAGCAGCGAGACGCGCAGUCCCAGGCCUACUUGAUCUUGUCCAUUUGGCACUGCUGGAGGAAUAACAAGUUUCUUCCCGUCAUGCACCGUUCUGGGAUACAUCAUGACAGAGAAAUCUCAAAGCCCAGGUCAAUUAUAACAGAAGAUGUGUAGCACCUCUGCCCCCACAGCGUCUUCUGGGGAUCCGCUUGGCAAAAUGAUAUAAAACUAUUUGUGAAGACUUCCUGUGGUCUGGCGCUACCUCGAACUCAGUCGCCGGCCGAAUGUAAGGAAAUAUGGCGUGGUCAGUGUCCAGUUGUGUGGCGUGGAGCACGGAUGAAGGCUACUGGGCUGAGGUGUGUCGGCUGAGGACUGUGCUAUUCACUUGGAGGGCAUAAGAAGCAUCUGACAGAAAUGGCCAAGAACGUCGAGUGGCUUCGGUGGGAAGGAUCAGAUACGUGUGCAGAAGGGCAGGGGGCUGCCUUCGAGUCCCUGCAGGCGGAGGAGGGAACAGACCCACAAGUCCUGCCUUGCAGCAAGAAGAUCUGCUCUAAAACACCACCAAAAAGAAGUCUUAAUAAAGUGUGAACAUUCUCCUCGUGGAGCUGACUGAGUGCACUUGUCGCAGGUGUCUCCCAACGUGUCAAAACAGUGAGCUGCCCAUGCACAGAGCUCUUUUGAGCUGGUGAGCCCAGAACCCCCUCCUACUGAUUUUCCUGCAGUGAAACCAGCUCCGAUCGUUGGCCUCGGCCGUCUUGUGGAGUGGAGGUAGGAAAAGUGUUCCUUUACCUUGUGCUUCACGUGAGCAGUGAGCACCACCGGUUCUGUCCUCGGUGGUUCCUCCAUGGGUGAGUCUGUUCCUGACCUGGGAGCGUUACCUCUCUGGACACACAUCGACGUCGUGGCCCUUGGCAGCGUAUGGUUGCCAGCGGGUCUGUGAUAGCAGGGGGUGCACCCACACAAUGUUCUGCCAGUCGCACCUUCCUCUUGGCUUUUUCAAAAGGCACGUUUUAAGGGGAGGAAAAAACCCAACUUUUCUUUAAGGCUUACCUGAAUCUUUCUGUAAUUUACGGCAGCCCCUCAACACUGGAAGAAAUUGCAUCACAUCCACUUGACAAAAAAACAACCUAGUGGGAAGAGUGAGAUUAGACAUAAACUUGCAAGCUCUGUUUAUAACGUGGAGCGACAAUACAUGAACGCGCUGUUCUGCUGCUGCUGCUGCUCGCGAGAAAGAAUGAGGGUGAAACGAGUGAGAGAGCCACAGUUAAAUUACUCACUAUUAGCCCCUACAGUGUGCUUCCAACCUGCACUGAUAUAUAUGUACAGAAAGAGAGAGAAUGUCACAGUUAAAUUUUUUUUACUAGUAUAAUGAGGAAAGAGACCAACAGAAGAAGUUCCCUUGGCUAAUUUUCUAGCCAGCAGCCGCUGCAAUGUUCCCACUAGGAGAGACUGAAGAAGUGAGAGAGAGAUAUAAUAAAUAAUGACUGGCUCUGCUGGUAAGGAGAAAUUAUCACUGUGCUUGGGGGAUCUAAGUAUGUGCUCACCCAAGAUACGGGCAGGGGGAGGGGGCCAGGAGCGCUCUGCCGGCUCUGGAGGAGAACAUUCAGUGAUGGCUGAAUUAAAACGGCUUUCAGCUAGUGCUUUGUCUGCUAAGCUGGGGCGGGAAAGGCUGGACGGAGCGGUUCUGGAUGAGAUGCAGGAAAAGAUGUCAAAGGAGUUUCCAAUCUAAGCUUUGGGUUUAAAUCUGCUCCCUAAAAUGGAAGUGUAAAGCGCAGGUGGUUGCAUCAGGGCUCAAGGGUGUGAACUCCCACCAAACCCAACACAGGAAGGACAUGGAGCUGUUGGAGCAGGUCCAGAGGAGUCGACAGAGAUGAUCCAAGGGCUGGAGCACCUCCUGUACGAGGACAGGCUGAGAGAGUUGGGGUUGUUCAGCCUGGAGAAGAGAAGGCAGCGGGGAGACCUUAGAGCAGCUUCCAGUGCUGAAAGGGGCUCCAGGAAAGCUGGGGAGGGGCUCUGGAUCAGGGAGGGCAGGGAGAGGACAAGGAGGAAUGGUUUUCAGCUGAAAGAGGGGAGAUUGAGGUGAGACCUGAGGCAGAAAUGUUUUGCUGUGAGGGUGGGGAGGCCCUGGCCCAGGGUGCCCAGAGCAGUGGUGGCUGCCCCAUCCCUGGAGGGGUUCCAGGCCAGGUUGGAUGGGGCUUGGAGCCCCUGAUCCAGUGGGAGGUGUCCCUGCCCAUGGCAGGGGGUGGGACUGGAUGGGCUUUGAGGUCUCUUCCAACCCAACCCAUCCUGCAAGCUGUUCUUGUGGGAAAUAACACUGAAAUGGGGGCUGUAGUGUCUCCUCAGACAUAAAAAUUAGCUCCAUAUUUUGAAAUGUGGAAGGAUUUUUUUCUUUGGCAUGGCUUAAAAGGGAGAGCAAGCGAAGAUAAAGUCACAGCAGCCCAGCUGAGCGCUGUGUGCGUGUGUGUGUGUUUCUAUUCCGAGCCCUGCCUUGCGACGCGCUGCUUGCCCCUGCAGGCAGGCAGAGUCCUGAGAAACAGAAAGGUGCAGCUCGGAGAAAAGGUCUCCUCAGGAAAGGAGAGGAGUGUUACGGCUUUGCUAAACACGAGUUAUUAGGCUUGGUGCAGGGCAGCCGGGCAAGACACGCUGGGCUGUGAUGCAGGAGAUGUCAGUUCAGAUGGUCAAAUGGUUCUGCCUACCCUUAGGUUCUAUUAAUUAAACUGCAUGGAAAAAGUCAUAGGAGUUGUGUUUGCUAAAAUCUCUUGACCUUCAAUGGAGAAAGAGUGCGAUCAGCUAUCCUUGUGAGAUUUGUGUUGUUUUAGUGCUAACAGGUCUCCUUAGCUCGGAGAAUUUUGGACCUGAAUGAGAUUCCUGUCUCGGGCUGGAAUGGCUGAGACCAGUUUGAAUCCCGUAGCUAAACAGGGGCUCCUUUCCCAUUCCCCAAAAUAGCACAUCGCUCUCUACACUCUGCCUGUUUCAUGUACAGAAGUGUAUAAUCUGGCAUUUAGUAUGAUUUACUUGAUUUCAAUGAAAGCAGCUUUCGUAUAAAGAGUUGAACACUGCUUCUUAGACCACAUUCUCGCAAAAGGAAAGCAGCACCCUUUUUUUUUUUUUUGUGCUCCAGCAUCAUGAAAAUUUGCAUGGUGAGAUGCAUUUCUCACCACAUGCCGGCUGCAAAUUGUAUUUGAAAUGGGAAGUAUCAAUUAAAUGAGCCUCUCUGAACUGCCUGGUGACAGCUGCCGUGCUGCUGAACGCCGGUGACACUUGCAAUAUCAACAGAUUUUGGCUGGAGAUGAUAAAACACUUUCUGGCCAUUUAAAUACUGGUUUAACAAGCAGUUGAAGAUCAUAAUUUCAAUCGUUAAGACAGAAAUGGUCACUGCAAAAGUCUUUUCUCCAUGAGCAUGUAGACCGGUGCUGGGUUUGGUCAAUAGUGUCAAAGCCCGGUGGAAGCUGAUGGAGAAGUCGAGUGACAUCGGUGCCCUGGGUCGAUGGGAGGCUGUUCUGGCUGCUCAGGGAUGAAACCUCCACCUCGAGCAAUCCAGGAAUGAUUUGAGGGGCUGAAGACUGAAGGGGAUUCCCCUGGAGAACCCCUCGGCGGGUCUGGCCAGGAGGUUGCCCUGGGCGUGGGGACAGUGCUGUUGCCACCAGCUCAGCCCCAGCACAACAGGCGUCAGGAGGCAAGGCUGGGCCUGCAGAGAACGUGGAUGUCUUUGAAAGCUGAGCCAGUUUUCUUUACAAAAACCCCAUUUGCUUAAGCCAAUUUUUCUCUCAAAUGGCAGGUUUGGGUGAAGCUGCCUCAUUUUCUGAGUUGCAGCUCUUGGGCUGAAGUGCAAGCCCACAGACACGCCGGGGAGAGAAUUCCUCUGGGAGCCUUGGUGUCGCUUGGAGCUGCUGUGCAGCAAGGGGCUUGCCCUGUGGCUCUCCUUUUUUCCCUAAGAUUAUAAAAUCUUCUAUUUAUUCCAAAUGAAAAGAUUCAAAUUUUGGUUUAAUUCUUUCAAAUCCCCUGAAAGCAGGUAGAAGCAUCCUGGUUCCCAGAGAAACUGCAGCCACAGCGAGGGGAAGAUGGUGUUGGAGCG